AGUAACGAUCCGGAAACGGGUGCUAAUACCGCAUAGUUUUCUUGAUCGCAUGAUUGAGAAAGGAAAGACGGCCUUUGUGCUGUCGCUUAUGGAUGGACCCGCGGCGUAUUAGUUAGUUGGUGAGGUAACGGCUCACCAAGACGAUGAUACGUAGCCGACCUGAGAGGGUGAUCGGGCCACAUUGGGACUGAGACACGGCCCAAACUCCUACGGGAGGCAGCAGUAGGGAAUCUUCCGCAAUGGACGAAAGUCUGACGGAGCAACGCCGCGUGAGUGAAGAAAAGGUUUUCGGAUCGUAAAACUCUGUUGUCAGAGAAGAACAAGUUGGAGAGUAACUGCUCCAGCCUUGACGGUAUCUGACCAGAAAGCCACGGCUAACUACGUGCCAGCCGCCGC
rnacentral:rRNA from 1 species